AACGAACGCUGGCGGCAUGCCUAACACAUGCAAGUCGAACGAGAUCUUCGGGUCUAGUGGCGCACGGGUGCGUAACGCGUGGGAAUCUGCCCUUUGGUUCGGAAUAACAGUUGGAAACGACUGCUAAUACCGGAUGAUGACGAAAGUCCAAAGAUUUAUCGCCAGAGGAUGAGUCCGCGUAGGAUUAGCUAGUUGGUGUGGUAAAGGCGCACCAAGGCGACGACCCUUAGCUGGUCUGAGAGGAUGAUCAGCCACACUGGGACUGAGACACGGCCCAGACUCCUACGGGAGGCAGCAGUGGGGAAUAUUGGACAAUGGGCGAAAGCCUGAUCCAGCAAUGCCGCGUGAGUGAUGAAGGCCUUAGGGUUGUAAAGCUCUUUUACCCGGGAUGAUAAUGACAGUACCGGGAGGAUAAGCUCCGGCUAACUCCGUGCCAGCCGCCGCCGUAA
rnacentral:rRNA from 1 species